UUCAGACCAUAAGUUCAGAAGGAUCACCAUGGUAAACAAUGUGCAAAACCCAAAACCAAUGUUUGCUGGUCAUACCAAAAGCAAACAGGCCACUGAAGAAAGAUUCAAUAUUACCUUGUUCAUAAAUAAAUUUCGUCCAUUAAUAACUGAAGCAGGACAAUUAUGCUAUAAUAUUUAGAGGAGAGUACACUCAACUUCUUUUAGGUGUACGACGGACAAAAGAACAAAAUCGGAAACCGAUACAAAAUCCAAUCGGAUAAUCAUCUAUAUUCAAUAUAAAAAGCACUAGUUUAUCAAAUACCUCUCUCUCCUGACCCUUAGAUCUAUUCAUCCAACGGCUCAUAUUAAAAGUUAGAUCAACCCCUGCAAUUAGCGAUCCCACCUGGAGUAAUCAGCAGUUAGCGAAAAAGAACCAAUAGCAGCGAAAAAAAAAAACGUCGCCCACCACAGACCGCGCCCGCCCACCACACCGCCCGCGCCUCUCCGCCGCAGGCACUCGCCCUCCACCCCGCCCGCACAUCCCCGCCGCUGGCGCCCGCCUGCGCCCUUGCCUCCUCACCUCCCGCGCCUGCCCUCUCCAUCCAGCUCGCGCCUCCCCUACCGCCGGCGCGCUGAACCUAGAUCUUCUCUCUUCGUCUGAACCGCCACUUCCGUAAUCUCCAUCGUGCAGUCUCCUCUUCCUGGCCACGCUCCUCUCCGUUGUCGUCACGAUGGUGGGGGCCGAGGGGUGGAGGCGGCUGAGGAGGUGCAGUUCCUACCGCGGCUGCUCGUCAUCGACCAACGGUGGAGGAGGGCGAGGUGUUGGCGGAUGUGUGGUUCGUUAAUUGGAGCCAGGCGGGUGAGGUGAACAACCUAGCACCAUAUAAAUCCAUGUCUGAGGAUUCGCCGACUAUGUGCGGGAGUUCCUCACCGGCCUGGCCUAUUGUUCGAGGUCCUUGCGCAGAAAGCGACCGCCUACGCGCGGGUCACACGUGUCGGGGACGACGGCAUGGAUGAGACGCUGCUCUCCAACCUCCCCUACAACUCCGACUACGGAUACAGGAAAUAUCAGAUAUGUAGAAAAAAAUUGGCAUCAAAACUUGAGGUGAAGGGUCCUGAUUUGCUGAUUUCAAGUUGAACCUGCAGCAGUGGCGGCAAUAGCUGUUCUACAAGCGAGCGGCUGGCACGGCCGGCUGUACAAGUGAGCAGGGCCGGUCAGGCACCUGCCAAAGGUGCUCAAUGAACGAGUUUUACAGUAUUUGGUAUUUUGGUUCAAAAAACUGUAGAGCUUGGCUGUAUUUGGUAUUUUGGUUCAACAACCAUCGCCCACGCUGUCUGUGCAAAGGCAUACUUGAACAUUAUUCUUCAAGUGCUCGCCUAACCUUGUUGGUAAUUGGUUUUUAGCUUCUUGGUCAGUAAUGAAAAGAUUAGACAGACAAGAUAAAUCAAUAUAGAUUCUAACUACACUGCUGCCUUCAAAAAAAAUGUUUCAUAAAAUAUUUUUGCUUUUGCAGCUUGCGGUCCGAAUCUAGCUGCAAGAAAUUGGCUUGGAUUUACUGGGGCUAUACCAAGUUUCUUGACUGUAUAUGUUUGCAAGAUCAAUUCCAAAUAUCUCUCAGGGCUUUCAUCAAACAAAAAGAUGGUUGGAAAAGAAACAACAGGUCAAAUAGCUUUGGAUGAUAUUACACCAAUGGAUAUGGCUUUGUAAGGAUCUUGUGCUUGGUACUCACCAUUUUCAGAUCCUAUAAUUGACAUGGGUUCUAUCUUCUCCUUAUAAAUGUCAAAACUUUUGAUGGGUUAUAAAUAAGGAAAUGUUUGGUUUAAAUUAUAUACUAGAUUAUAACAUGCACUGCAUGUGCAUGGUUAUUGUAUAUAUACAUUAAAUGUCAUGUUAUGUAUGGGCCUAAUGACUUCCAUUGCUUCUUGAUACGGUACUUGACAAACAUAAGAACAUAGGUGUUGAAGUCAGUGUUGCUGUUAGAUGAUAUUUUUGUUUUCUGAAGUGGAAAUUAAAUUCCUAAAUGUUUUUCUACUUUUCUUGUACUAUUCUCUUACUUUAAUCUGAUUGUGCCAGGAAGUUAGAUAUAUAUGUGAAUAUGUGAUGUGGACAAGUGAUCUUCAAGAUUGAUGGAAGGAUUAAAAAAAAGCUUCAAUCUUCUAAGCUAUUGUCCAGCUACUGUUAUCAUAAAAGGCUAAACUGAUUGAAGAAACAAAUGGAAUGGAAUUCUGAACUUGCUAUGUUUGCUCUUAUUUCAGAAAUUAUCCCUUUAGUCCUACGAUCUUGGUUACACAACAUAUUUUGUUUAAUAUUGCUUAUGGGCGUUGCAUACCCUGUAGUACCAUGUAGUUUCCCCGUAGUACCAAUACGUUGUACCUUGUCCAACAUGAGUUCACUACAUCUUGUUCAAUAAUAAGAAUUACCUA